GACGAACGCUGGCGGCGUGCCUAAUACAUGCAAGUAGAACGCUGAAGAGAGGAGCUUGCUCUUCUUGGAUGAGUUGCGAACGGGUGAGUAACGCGUAGGUAACCUGCCUUGUAGCGGGGGAUAACUAUUGGAAACGAUAGCUAAUACCGCAUAACAAUGGAUGACACAUGUCAUUUAUUUGAAAGGGGCAAUUGCUCCACUACAAGAUGGACCUGCGUUGUAUUAGCUAGUAGGUGAGGUAAUGGCUCACCUAGGCGACGAUACAUAGCCGACCUGAGAGGGUGAUCGGCCACACUGGGACUGAGACACGGCCCAGACCCCUACGGGAGGCAGCAGGAGGGAAUCUUCGGCAAUGGGGGCAACCCUGACCGAGCAACGCCGCGGGAGUGAAGAAGGUUUUCGGAUCGUAAAGCUCUGUUGUAAGUCAAGAACGGGUGUGAGAGUGGAAAGUUCACACUGUGACGGUAGCUUACCAGAAAGGGACGGCUAACUACGUG
rnacentral:rRNA from 1 species